rnacentral:rRNA from 1 species
UGCAAGUCGAAUGCCGAUUUAUCGGCAUGGCAGACGGCUGAGUAACACAUGGGAAUCUACCUCAAACUCGAGAAUAGCCCAUCGAAAGGUGGUGUAAUACUCGAUAGUUCCGUUUACGGUAAAGCUCCGGCGGUUUGAGAUGAGCCCAUGUCCUAUCAGGUUGUUGGUGGGGUAAUUGCCUACCAAGCCUAUGACGGGUAGCUGGUUUGAGAGGAUGAUCAGCCAGACUGGGACUGCGAUACGGCCCAGACUCCUACGGGAGGCAGCAACUAGGAAUCAUGCGCAAUGGACGAAAGUCUGACGCUGCGACGUCGCGUGAGGGAUGAAGGUCUUAGGAUCGUAAACCUCUUUUAUCUGGGAACAAGUUCUGAGUGUACCAGAUGAAUAAGUGCCUGCCAACCACGUGCCAGAAGCAUCGGUAAUGCGUGGGGCACGAGCGUUAUCCGGAUUUACUGGGCGUAAAGAGAUGCGUAGGCGCCUUUUUAAGUCACUUGUAAAAUCUCCCCGCUCAACGGGGAAACUGCAAGUGAUACUGAAUUGGUUGAGUCAAGUAGAGGAGAGGGGAAUUCCUGGUGGAGCGGUUAAAUGCGUUGAUAUCAGGAGGAAUACCAAGUGCGAAGGCACCUCUCUGGACUUGUACUGACGCUAAGGCUCGAAAGUGUGGGGAGCAAAACGGAUUAGAUACCCGUGUAGUCCACACUGUAAACGAUCCCUGCUAGAUGUUUGC